CCUACGGGUGGCUGCAGUGGGGAAUAUUGCACAAUGGGGGAAACCCUGAUGCAGCGACGCCGCGUGCGUGAAGAAGUACUUCGGUAUGUAAAGCUCUAUCAGCAGGGAAGAAAAUGACGGUACCUGAGUAAGUAUCCCCGUCUCACUACGUGCCAGCAGCCGCGGUUAUACGUAGGGGGCAGGGGUUAUCCGGAUUUACUGGGUGUAAAGGGAGCGUAGGCGGCAGGGCAAGUCUGGAGUGAAAGGCGGGGGCUCAACCCCCGGAGUGCUCUGGAAACUGUACGGCUGGAGUGCAGGGGAGGUAAGUGGAAGUCGUAGUGUAGCGGUGAAAUGCGUAGAUAUUAGGAGGAACACCAGUGGCGAAGGCAGCUUACUGGACUGGAACUGACGUUGAGGCUCGAAAGCGUGGGGAGCAAACAGGAUUAGAUACCCGAGUAGUC
rnacentral:rRNA from 1 species